UAUUUUCGCGGUUUUUAGUUUAUGUCUUUUAUUGCAGGUUGGAGGUGAAAUUGUCUUUUCAUGGAUAGUGACUUUUCUGAGUGAUUAAAGGAAAAGCAGGAAAUAAUUUACGGAGAGAUAUGAAAUUGUAGCAAACUCUCCUGACAACGAAACGUCUUAAAGAAAAACAUUUAUAGUUCUGAUCCUUUCUGUGAAACCCGUUCUUACAGACGUGCGCGAAAAAUCACAUAAAUCCCCAAUCAACUUUUUCUGGUUCGCUGUAUCAUGCGGUGUUACCAAGAAAAGAUGGCCGGCGAAAGUUUCGAAAUUGAGUUUUCUUGGAAAUUCCAGCAAUGCAAUUGGAUUGAAUGGAAUCCGCUAACAUAGCAAAGACUUCCUUCCAAAAUACGAGGAUUGUCACGGGACAGUAAGUGCGCAGUACGUUAUUUUCGACGAAACAGCAGUAACUCCUCAUAAUCGAAUUAGAGAACUAGUUAUGGUAUUUUUACUCACUUUUCGGCAACAAUGCGUGGAUGCCGCCCGACAGGAGAACAGUAAAAUCGGAGAAGGAAGAUGAUUUGGAAGACUCAUUAUUACUCAUUAACUCAUUAUCUUAAUUAACUUCGGGAACUCUCGCUCUUCUGUGGCAGUAUGGAAGCUAGGCCAGGUUUGCCGAACAUACUCGUAACUCACGCGUUGAGAGGGGCUUCAGCACGGGGGAAAUGAAGAUGAUCUUAGACCUCGGCAAGCCUUGGUCUGAGUAAUGCUCGCCGAGCUAUGAAAACGAGAGUACACAACGGAAUUCCUGUAAAGUGACGUAAAAUUUACGUAGACUUGUUUGAUUAGUGGGUAGGCGGUUUCGGCUUCUUCUGCGUAGAAGCUCUUGCCUCUUCGCCACGAGGCUCCUUGGAUACGAAUACAUAUUCUACCGUAUUGCGGAAGAAUGAAAGAAUGUCGUAUGAGACUUUAGACAUUGCCUAAUUUGCUCAAUAUUUUCCUCCAAAUUUUUCAGGAAAGGCUCCAUAAAAAUCUCAUCUAAAAAUUUCCAAGAGAACUACUCAUUUUCUUCGAAAAUAAUGUUUCAUCGAAGGAAAUUUGGCAAUUAUCGAAUGUUUAUACGGCGUUUUUCCUGAGCACGGUAGUAUUGCUGGCACUAUACUGAUCAACAAAGAAAUCGAUGGUUGGUUUGAUCAUUUGGCCCAAUAAAUUAAACUCGGGAGCUACCCUU